GAUCAUGGCUCAGAUUGAACGCUGGCGGCAGGCCUAACACAUGCAAGUCGAACGGUAACAGGAAACAGCUUGCUGUUUCGCUGACGAGUGGCGGACGGGUGAGUAAUGUCUGGGAAACUGCCUGAUGGAGGGGGAUAACUACUGGAAACGGUAGCUAAUACCGCAUAAUGUCGCAAGACCAAAGAGGGGGACCUUCGGGCCGUCUUGCCAUCGGAGUGUGGCCCAGAUGGGAUUAGCUAGUAGGG
rnacentral:rRNA from 1 species